rnacentral:rRNA from 1 species
GACGAACGCUGGCGGCGUGCUUAACACAUGCAAGUCGAACGGAAAGGCCCUGCUUUUGGGGGGUGCUCGAGUGGCGAACGGGUGAGUAACACGUGAGUAACCUGCCCUUGACUUUGGGAUAACUUCAGGAAACUGGGGCUAAUACCGGAUAGGAGCUCCUGCUGCAUGGUGGGGGUUGGAAAGUUUCGGCGGUUGGGGAUGGACUCGCGGCUUAUCAGCUUGUUGGUGGGGUAGUGGCUUACCAAGGCUUUGACGGGUAGCCGGCCUGAGAGGGUGACCGGCCACAUUGGGACUGAGAUACGGCCCAGACUCCUACGGGAGGCAGCAGUGGGGAAUCUUGCACAAUGGGCGGAAGCCUGAUGCAGCAACGCCGCGUGCGGGAUGACGGCCUUCGGGUUGUAAACCGCUUUCGCCUGUGACGAAGCGUGAGUGACGGUAAUGUGUAAAGAAGCACCGGCUAACUACGUG